GAUCCUGGCUCAGGACGAACGCUGGCCGCGUGCUUAACACAUGCAAGUCGAACGAGAGCGUAGAGAAAGCUUGCUUUUUCUACAAUCUAGUGGCAAACGGGUGAGUAACGCGUAAACAACCUGCCCUACGGAUGGGGACAACAGCUGGAAACGGCUGCUAAUACCGAAUACGUUCCGAAAGUCGCAUGACUAUCGGAAGAAAGGAUGGCCUCUAUUUAUAAGCUAUCGCCGGAGGAGGGGUUUGCGU
rnacentral:rRNA from 1 species